GGUGUGCUUCACUGGAGAUGGAAGGAAGCAGCAUAACAAUUGGUGUUGUAAUUUGCUAAAAUAAUCAAAUUCAUGAUUUGUUUUACAGAGAAUAAAAAGAACCUGGAAAGAGAAUUAUUGAUUUGCAUUAUGGAAACCACUUCAACCAGGCACUGGAAAUCUUUCAAGGCUUGUGUGCUGGCUCAUAUUUUCCUUUCCCAAGGCGGAGGUUAAACAUGUUACUUGAAAUUCCCUGGGGGUUGGAAAUGUAACCCCUCAAAAGGCCAAGAUAUUACUGGGACUCACGUGUUGCAAAACCAGGAUGACAUCUAUGGCAUCAGUUAACAAACAAGAUGAGAAUGGCCGUGCUUCUACACAAGGUCAUAUGAAUGACAGAGAUGGCAGUGAAGUCUUUCUUGCCCACCUUGGAUAAAGGAUGAGUAACAUGACCUGAGAGAGAGAGGUUUUGGUACUUUCCAUGUCCUCAUGGUCCCCCUUUCAGCUUCAUAUUUCUUUGUAUGCCCUGCAUCUUGGAACAUCUGUUCUUGUUUUGCUUCGUUUAACUUCAGCAUGCGUAUUUCUGCUGCUGCUGCUCUAGAAAUUAAUGUUUUGAUCACAACCCUACACACGGGUUAUUUUAAACCUGACCCCUUCUCCCUUCUGUGACCCAGUUCAUGAUCAUAAGGGAAAUGCUUAGUAAUCUUGCUUUCAGACAGAAGUGAAAGAGAAAAAUCCAACCACUGUAUUAAUGCCACCUCAACAGCUGGGAAAUAAAACACAGUGAGUAAUUUUUCCUUUGCA
rnacentral:lncRNA from 1 species